AUGUUGUUUACUACACCUAAGCAAUUCAAGAAAGCUAUAACAGAUUAUGUAGUUCAUGGUGGAUGGGGGAUCAGAUUUGUUAAAAAUGAUCUACAAAGGGUAAGAGUUGUCUGCCAAGAAGGGUGCAAGUUUUUUGCCUAUCUAACAAAGGUGCCAAGGGAAAGGAUCUACCAACUAAGGACAUUGACAUUAGAACACACCUGCUCUAGAAGUUAUAAGAAUUCUAGGUGUACUUCAUCAUACAUUGGGAAGAAGUUGAUGAAGAAGGUGAAAAGACAGCCUAAUAUCAAGCUGAGAGACAUCCAAGAGGUUGUCCAUGACAAGUAUACCAUAAACAUAAGUGCAGGAAAAGCAAGUAGGCCUAGGGAUAAGGCUCGAGAAUAUGUUGAUGGAGCUUAUACAAAACAAGACAACCAGCUGUGGGAGUACUGUGAGGAAUUAAAGAGGGCUAGUCCUGGUAGUACCAUACUUAUGAAGGUACAUACCUUCCACAAUGGUGAUUUAGCAGCUGAGAUGGAUUUGGUGUGUAGGGUGCCUUAUUUUGAGUGGCAUACAUAUAUUUGGAGGGCUGCAAGAAGGGGUUUUUGGUUGGAUGCAGGCCAUUCAUUAGUUUGGAUGCCUACCAUUUGAAGAACAAGUCAAAGGGGUAAUCGAUUACUGUAAUAUGCAAAGAUCCUAAUGAGGAGUAUUUCCCACUUGCAUAUGCAGUGGUAGAGGCUGAAACCAACGACUCUUGGACUUGGUUCAUCAAUCUGUUACUUGCAGACAUAGGUCAGAAUAGGAGAUGAGUGUUUAUGUCAGACCAGUAGAAGGUGUGUAGUUUAUUCUCUAUUUGGUUGUUUUUUUCUUCAUUUACUCAUUAUAUCUAUCUCUAAGACAUAUUUUCCUUUGAUACUAUUUGUGACAAGGGUUGGUGCAAACUUUCAUUGAUAACUGGCCACAAUAUGAACAUAGGAUUUGCUAUAGACACCUCUACAACAACUUCAGGAAGAACCAUCCUAGUGUUCUAAUCAAAGAACUGUUUUGGAGGGCAGCCAAGGCAACUUAUAAAGAAGAGUUGGUUAGGGUGAUGGAUGAGCUGAAGGGUAUUAAUGCUGAUGCACAUAGUUGGUUGGAUGCUCAUUCAACAACAAAAUGGGCUAGACACAUGUUUAGUGAGGAUGCCUUGACUGACACUAUAGUAAACAAUAUGUGUGAGAGUUUCAAUAGUAGGAUUCUUAAAUUCAGGUCUAAGCCUAUAAUUAGCAUGGUAUGAGUCUUUGUGAUCACCUAUAGUUAAUUAGGUUCAUUGUUUGGUACUGUUUUUAGUAGGUGUUGUAAUUAAUAUCUAGUGUUUUAUUGUACUUGUGUGUGCUUGCAACUUAAGUGUAUCAGGCUAUAUCUCAUGACUAGGUUUCAAGAGAACAGAGAGAAGAUUCUGAGAGUGGAGUCAGAUAUUUGUGCCAAGGUUUUGAAGAGGUUGCAUAAGGAAAAACUGGCAGCCAGUAGGUGGUUAGCUUGUUGGGUAGGGCAGACCCAGUUUGAAGUAAAAAAUGGUCUGCAAAGUUUCACUGUUGACUUAGCCAGAGCACACUGCAAUUGUAGGAAGUGGGAUAUAAGUGGCAUACCCUGUGCUCAUGCAUUCACCUACAUAUUUUUUAACAAAAAAGAUGCUAAGAAAUAUGUUCACCUAUGUUACCAUGUGUCUACAUACAAGGCCUGCUAUGAACCAAUCAUAUCACCAAUCAAUGGAUAGAAUAUGUGGAGACCUAGUUGUGUGACCCCAGUUCAGCCUCCCAUCAAAAGAAGACCACCUGGCAGACCUAAGAAGAAGAGAGAAAGGAAACCUAAUGAGCCAAUAAAUAGGAGAGCUAGCAUCUCUAAGCAAUGCAAGGUCUGUGGUAAGUUAGGGCAUAAUAGAAGAUGUUGUAAGGGUGAGAUUGGAGGGAGCUCCUCACUGCCAAGCACCACAAACAGAACCAGUACAUCUAAUAAGGUAAUAUAUGGACAUGUGUGUGAAAUAGUUGCUUUUCAAUAUUCAAUAUUAAUGUAUGUGAAUUUCUUGUUUGUAGGCCAGCAUGCAUAGUUUUAACUCCAGUCUAAAUGCACCACCUUAGUCCAGCAAGCAUAGCCCAACCACUUAAAGUGCACCAUACCAGUCCAACAAGCCCAACUUCAGGCCAGGUGCACCAUCUUAGGCCAAGACAAGCUCAGCCACUCAAUUUGCACCAUCUCAGACCAGGAUACACCAAUCCAGUCCAAAUGUAACACCUUAUGCCAGGACAAGCUCAUCCAAUCCAUUUCAGGCCAGCAAAACAGCAUUCAUCCACUCAUAUACACAACAGCACAACUACACUCCAAUUGCACCACACCAGUCAGGCAGCACCAUAUAGAAUCUAGGUGCACAUCAAAACUCUAGCAGCAGCAACCCAAAUCCAAGGCAAAAAAAGACAAGGGUGGUCACAUCAGAGACUCUAAAGGCUUCUAAGAAUGCAUCCAGAUAUAUGGAAGCAAUCAGACAUGGUGGGAGUCAAUCAUCUGUGAAUGGUCCAAGGAAAUGAAGAGAGCACAAGUUCAUUUUUCCUUUGCUUGUUUUGUGUAUUUAUGGUGAUAGGGUUAAUUAUGGAAUAAUGCCCUUUGUUUUGUAGAAAGUGAUGGUAAUGGUGAUAGGGUUAAGUAUAGAAGUGAUGGUAAUGGUGAUAGGGUUAACCAUGGAACAAUCCCAUUUGUUUUGUAG
rnacentral:sRNA from 1 species